rnacentral:lncRNA from 1 species
UGACAAUGCUGGCUACACAGCCCUGCAUGAGGCUUGUUCCCGGGGCUGGACCGACAUCCUGAACAUCCUGCUGGAGCACGGGGCCAACGUGAACUGCAGUGCGCAGGACGGCACGAGGCCAGUUCAUGAUGCGGUGGUCAAUGACAACCUGGAGACCAUCUGGCUCCUGCUGUCCUAUGGGGCCGAUCCCACACUGGCUACCUACUCGGGUCAGACAGCCAUGAAGCUGGCCAGCAGCGACACCAUGAAGCGCUUUCUCAGUGGUA